CUUAUUUGUUUCAAGGAGUUCAUGAGUGACUAUCACAAACACUUCAAAAAGUACAGUGACCUUGAACGGACAUGUGCCAACCCACUGCACAUGUGUGUGAGACGUAUGGAAGCUUGGCACUUCUUCUGCAAUCACUACAUAAGCCGUGCAUUCCAAGAACAAUUACGAACGAACAAGACUGCUAGACAAAAGCAACCUUACAAUCAUAGCAGUAAGUCAAUUUGUUUCUACAACGACAGCAUGAGCUCGCUAAGCAACGAGUCUCAGCCUACCCUAAAGGGUUCUCAGCCAUUCUCUGGUGAAUAUGUGAGACUGUUUUGGGUAGACGACCGGGCUAUUCAAAAGAUCUUGGUCGGGGACCCAAGCCCAAGUCCCACAAGACGAUGACUAGUGCUAGCAGUUUCUUGACAUGUAUUUGCAAUCCAAAGAAAGACAUAAGAGAUGUUGACUUCACAAGUGGAACAAAUGCAGAAGCUCAUAGAAGAAAUGAGUUGAGAAUAGAAAGGACCAUGAUCCCUAUGGUCCCGUCAGUGUAGAAUGGCGUAUGCGACUUGGUAGGAGAUGUACGUAGUUUUUUUGUUUCUAUGUAUUUUUUUUUACAUUUACUAUUUUUUUAGUCGGUG